GAAUCCAAGAAUGGCCUCCAACAUUCUAAGAAGAUAAAGAUGGCUAUGAACCUCUGAUCUUCCUGCCCCCAUCCUACCAAGUACUGAGAAUACAGAUUUGUGCCUUGCCAGCAAGUUUUACAGUCUAUGGUAAAAUCAUAUCAGGAAGAAUAUCUCUCCUAGAUGGCUUCUGGCAGUGAUCAAAUUCAGUGGAAGGUAAAUCUCCAUUGCUGAAGAGACCAUACACUUCCAACAUAGGGCUCAACAGCCUGAGAGCUUCAUCUGCCUUGAACACCUCUCUUAGGGCUAGGUUUUAUGGUACCAGAAGGCAAUAGCAAAGCUUCCAAAAGAGGGAAGGAACCAACAAUCUUAUCCAGGUAUAUUUCAGUAUGGACUUAUUCAAAGAAGCCUCAGCUGUCCUGUUCACCACUGAAGAAAAGUAGCACAUCCUCCUGGAAGCAUGGAAAAAUGUUCCAGGAGUGAAUGGAGUUCCAAACAACCUGCCUAAUGAGAUUAACACAGGGUUGCCUCUGGACUGGCCUGAUUGGGAUUACAAUAUGGCUCAAGGUAGGGAGAGAUUGACAGUUUACCUCCGGGCUCUGGUGGCAAGUCUCAAGGGAGUGGUGAGAUGCCCCACCAAUUUGGCUUAGGUAAUAGAGGUGAUGCAGGGCCCUACCAAGCCCCUGUCUGUUUUUCUAG